rnacentral:rRNA from 1 species
UUACGCUGUUAUCCCUAAGGUAAUUUAGUCUUAUAAUCAACAUAAAUGGAUCAAAUACAUAUAAAUAAAUAUAAAAUAAAUAAAAAGAGUUAAUUAAAUCUUUCCAUCACCCCAACAAAAUAAAUUUUUACAUUAGAAAUUCUCAUACAAAAAAAAAUAAAAAUAUAUAAAACUCUAUAGGGUCUUCUCGUCCCAAAAAAACAUUUAGGCAUUUUAACCUAAAAUUUAAGUUCAAAAAAAAAAUAAAGACAGUUAACACCUCGUCAAACCAUUCAUUCCAGCCUACAAUUAAAAGACUAAUGAUUAUGCUACCUUUGCACGGUCAAAAUACCGCGGCCCUUCAAUAUUCAGUGGGCAGGCCAUACAUCAAAAUAUAUUCAAGAAGAGAUGUUUUUGAUAAACAGGCG